rnacentral:lncRNA from 1 species
CGAGGGUAGAGGCUGCAGCUGAUCCGAGGGCAGAGGCUGCAGCUAAUCCGAGGGCAGAGGCUGCAGUUGAUCUGAGGGCAGAGGCUGCAGGAGACCUGAGGGCAGAGGCUGCAGCUAAUCCGAGGGCAGAGGUUGCAGCUAAUCCAAGGGCUGAGACUCCAGCUAAUCUGAGGGCAGAGGCCCCAGAUAAGCCUGAGUCUGAGGUUGCAGGCAAUCAGAGAACAGAAGCCCUACCUGACCGGGGGGAAAAAGCCAUAGAUAGUCAGAGGGCAGAAGGUCCAGCUAAUGAAAGGACUGGAGCUGCAGAAAAUCAGAGGGUGGAGGUCCCAGCUGACCAGAGGGAGGAGGCUGGGCCUCAGGCUAUAGCGGAAGCCUCAGCUGGCUCCGUUACCCUAGGAACAGCCCCAGGACCUAGGGCCCAGAAACAGGUAAAGACUGUGAGGUUUCAGACCCCAGGACGGUUCUCGUGGUUUCGCAAGCGCAGAAGGGCUUUCUGGCACACUCCCCGGUUGCCAGCCUUGCCCAAGAGAGUCCCCAGGGCAGGCGAGGCUAGGAGCCUCAGGGUGCUGAGGGCUGAAGCUAGAGCAGAAGUGGAACACAGAGAAGAAGAGGAACAGCUGUGAGGUGAGCCCAGGGCCCCGGCACCCUGCCUGCCCUGCGCUGGCUGCCAGGGUACCUGCCUCCCCUGCAGGCUCCUUCUACCUCCAUGUUUGAAAAUGGAGGCUGCAGGGGCAGGCAGCACCGCGCACAUUUAGCGGCUUUUCUCCCUCCUUCUCUCUCCUCUUCCUUCCCCUUUCCCCUCCCUUUCUUCCUUUUUUAAAAAUCUUUUUGAGACAGUCUUGCUAUGCAGCCCUGCUGGCCUGGUACUCCAACUCCCAGCAGUCCCCUGCCGUAGUAUCCCGAGCACUAGGAUUGCAGGUGUGUCCCACUACAUCUGGCUCCAUUGACCUGUUUUUGUUUUUAUUUUGUUUGAGACAGGGUUUCUCUACAGCCCUGGCUCGCCUGGAACUCAUUAUGUGGACCAGGCUGUCCUCGAACUCAGAGAGGUCCGCCUGCCUCUGCUAGGACUUUUGGCACAUGCCACCAAGCCUCGGUCCUCUUUACGAUCUUGUUUUUCUAUGCUUACAUCAUUUUUAGGGGGGUGUAGCUGUAGACACACUUGAUUUUUUAAUACAUUGAUUUUUUUUUUUAAAUACUGAAUAUACAAUCUCAAAGACUGUAAAGAAAGAAGACAGUGAAGCCUGCUUGCCUGGAUGGUGCUUUAACUUCUCCCUGUGUUUCUUAAAGCCUCCCCCCCUGGCAAAGGGAAGUGGGCAGAGGAGGGGUUAUUCUGUCCCUUGUCUUCUGUCUACAACCAACUUUGAUGGACAUGGAUGCCUGCUUUGCACCCAAAGAAAGGGCUCAAGUUGAUAUGCAAAUAAAAAUGUUUACAACAGUGUUUCUGAAUCUGCUUUUUCUUCAUCUGCCCCACCCCCACC